GUGUGAGUCUUAGAGUGAGUGUUAGUGUGAGUGUUAGAGUGUGAGUGUGUGUGAGUGUUAGAGUGUUAGUAUUAGAGUGAGUGUUAGUGUGAGUGUUAGUGUGAGUGUUGGAGUGUGUGUGAGUGUUAGAGUGAGUGUUAGUGUGUGUGUCUGCUAGUGAGUGUUAGAGUGAGUGUGAGUGUGUUUGUCUGCUAAUGAAUGUCAGUGAGUGUGUUACUGUGUGUGUCUUACUGAGUGUGUGUGUGUGUGUGUGUUAGUGAGCCUGUUUGAUGUAUGUUAGUGAGUUUGUGUUUGUCAAUGAGAGUGUAUGUUUUGUAAGUGAGUGUGUAUGUAUGUCUGUCGCUGAGUGUGUCUCUGUCAGUAAAUGUAUGUGGUCCUUUAAGUGUGUGUGCAUCUGCAUGCACUGGCGUACAUACCGCGGUCGCAGGGGUCGCAGCCCUGUAACCCCUGCAACCAGGUGUCCACCGCCAUGUGUUACGGCCCGGCCCGCGCACGGAUCAAUUUUCGCACCGGGGCCCCAUGGGUCAUGUGUCCGCCACUGGCAUCAUUCGUAUGUUUUGUGC